rnacentral:rRNA from 1 species
AAUAGAUACCCUGGUAGUCCACGCCGUAAACGUUGGAUACUAGGUGUGGCGGUUAUACCAAUGACUGCCGUGCCGAAGCUAACGCAUUAAGUAUCCCGCCUGGGGAGUACGGCCGUAAGGCUAAAACUCAAAGGAAUUGACGGGUCCCCGCACAAGCGGCGGAGCAUGCGGCUUAAUUCGAUGCAACCCGAAGAACCUUACCUGGGUUUGACAUCACGGGAAAAGCUGUAGAAAUACAGUGUCCAUUAGGGCCCGUGACAGGUGGUGCAUGGCUGUCGUCAGCUCGUGUCGUGAGAUGUUGGGUUAAGUCCCGCAACGAGCGCAACCCUUGUCCUAUGUUGCCAGCGGUUCGGCCGGGGACUCAUAGGAGACUGCCGGGGAUAACUCGGAGGAAGGUGAGGACGACGUCAAGUCAUCAUGCCCCUUAUAUCCAGGGCUGCACGCAUGCUACAAUGGCCGGUACUAAGGGCUGCAAUACCGUGAGGUGGAGCGAAUCCCAAAAAGCCGGUCCCAGUUCGGAUUGAGGUCUGCAACUCGA